AAAAGAGUGGAGAUGUAUGUGUUUUAAGCAUGUGCCUACUUUAGAUUGUCUUUUUUCUUUUAUUGGUUUUGUUAAAAAAAAAAAAAGGACAUUUAUUUCCCACACAAUCACAAAAAGGAAAGAAAGAAAGAAAAAGCUUGGCAAAGCAAUAUUUUGUAUUCAUUUCAGGAACUCUCAACCUGAUCGAGAAAAAUGAUGGAACAUCUUCUCGUCUUCAGGUGCCCAAGACGUAUUUAGUCCCUGAGAAUCGUCCUAAGAGAGGCAUUUUCCGGUUAGCCUGCAGCUUCAGGAAGACCCGGCACAGGAGAGAGGCUGGCAGAGCUGAAAGCUCAGAGGAUGACAUCGGACUUGCCGGGGCGCGUAGAGGACAGUGCUGGGCUGGUAGAUUGGCCUUUGGGUUUCCGUGUUUCAGGACUCUUUGGGCCACAGGAUUGAAAGCAGGAGUUCUUCAAGAUCGUUCUCUCUCCCUUUCUGGCCUGGCAUUAGAGAAGAUUGUGCUAAUGGAGGAAGGAGGCAGCCGGGGGAGGCUGGGGAGCAGAAGGUGAGAGAAGGGGAGGGGGCAGAAAGCAGGCUGGAGAGGUUCUCUCAGACCUGAACUGUCCAGGUCCUUACUCCCUUCCCUCCCAGGGCCCCAGGGAGGAGGCAGAGCUUCCCUGGACCCAUGGACCCCCAUCUUCUGCAGAGGCCACGGCCCAGGAACAGGUGAGCGGCUGGCCUGUCAGGACCUUGGGCUGUGAGAACAUCAAUACCCAGAGGCCCUUCCAUGACCCCCAGGUGGGUAGUGCCACUGUGCUUCCAGGAUGAGCCUCGCUCACUU
rnacentral:lncRNA from 1 species